rnacentral:rRNA from 1 species
GAUGAACGCUGGCGGCGUGCCUAAUACAUGCAAGUCGAGCGAACAGACGAGGAGCUUGCUCCUCUGACGUUAGCGGCGGACGGGUGAGUAACACGUGGAUAACCUACCUAUAAGACUGGGAUAACUUCGGGAAACCGGAGCUAAUACCGGAUAAUAUAUUGAACCGCAUGGUUCAAUAGUGGAAGACGGUUUUGCUGUCACUUAUAGAUGGAUCCGCGCCGCAUUAGCUAGUUGGUAAGGUAACGGCUUACCAAGGCAACGAUGCGUAGCCGACCUGAGAGGGUGAUCGGCCACACUGGAACUGAGACACGGUCCAGACUCCUACGGGAGGCAGCAGUAGGGAAUCUUCCGCAAUGGGCGAAAGCCUGACGGAGCAACGCCGCGUGAGUGAUGAAGGUCUUCGGAUCGUAAAACUCUGUUAUUAGGGAAGAACAAAUGUGUAAGUAACUGUGCACGUCUUGACGGUACCUAAUCAGAAAGCCACGGCUAACUACGUG